rnacentral:rRNA from 1 species
UACGUAGGGAGCAAGCGUUGUCCGGAAUCAUUGGGCGUAAAGCGCGUGUAGGCUGCUCGGAAAGUCGGGUGUGAAAGCCCUGGGCUCAACCUAGGAAGUGCACUCGAAACUUCCGAGCUGGAGAUCUGGAGAGGAAGGCGGAAUUCUCGGUGUAGAGGUGAAAUUCGUAGAUAUCGAGAGGAACACCGGUGGCGAAGGCGGCCUUCUGGACAGCAUCUGACGCUGAGACGCGAAAGCGUGGGGAGCAAACAGG